AUUUACCAAUUUCAACAAUAAAAUUUCUCUUCAUUUUCUUCUGGAUCUCUAACAUUAUCGAGCUGUUAAAUCAGAGUGUAGCAUGCAUUUGUAAUCCUGUUGUAAUAACAGAUUUGGUUAGAGGCUGUGCAGCUCCGGGUGCUGAUUUGUUUGGAAGUAUUGCCGCAAAAAUUAUUGGUGCGGUUGAUAUCUUCUAUUGAAAUGCUUUCUCUUGGUUCACAUGAACCGGAGUUUUUAGUGCUGUGGAAGAUCCAAAUGAUGUGCACAUAAGGUGUUUGGUAAAAUGUCCAACAAGGUCUUCUGCAGACAAGUUUCCAUCAAUCAGCUGAAGAAGGAAUGGAAUCCAUUAGAAAUCUCUUCCAAUGCUCAUGUCAUCAUAAGGUGUUAUGUGUGUUGGUAGUGGCGUCUCUCCUACAAUUAUAUUAGCAAUGAUGCUUGCAGGAAACUCAUCAGCUGACGCAUCCACGUUUCACUCCAUUUCUCUCAUCUUCAAGAUGGAUCUCCUAGUCUAUCUUGAGGGGGGGGGGGGUGUUGGAAUACACGUGCACCAAACAUCAGCAGAUUCGUGCACCAGAUUCUAGAGACUUCCAUCUCAACGUAUCAGAUUCCAAAUGGUUGUGUCCAGCUGUCUUAGUUGUUAGUUAGUGAUUAGUUUGUUAAUUAGCUAAUUAGUUUAGCCAUUUUGCUCUAUAAAUACAUCACCAUGUAUGCAUUUUUAGUCUAUUGGAUUGUCCUCCAAUCCCUC
rnacentral:lncRNA from 1 species